GUCAAGCCAUGGAAGCUGGGAGUGCCUGAAGUCCGUCACCGUAAGGAGCGGCCUAGGGUAAAAUCGGUAACUAGGGCUAAGUCGUAACAAGGUAGCCGUACCGGAAGGUGCGGCUGGAACACCUCCUUUCUAGAG
rnacentral:rRNA from 1 species